rnacentral:tRNA from 1 species
GCUGUGGCUCAGUGGAAGAGUCUCUGUUUUGUAUGUAGAAGGUCCCAGGUUCAAUCCCUGGCAUCUCCA